GGCUCCGUGGUGUAGUUGGUACGCAUUGGCCUAGAAUGCCGAAGACGCUGGUUCGAUUCCAGCCGGUGCCC
rnacentral:tRNA from 1 species